UCUUGAUGUGACCUCCUCUUUGUCUUCUGGAGUAGGAUAUCUUUUUGAAAGUUUCCAGUCCAUUUGGUAGAAAGUCGUUCAGCAUUUGGUUGUAAUUUUGUUGUUUUUAUGAGAGAAGGUGAGUUCCAGUCCCUCUAUUCUGCCAACCUUAUUCUGUGUAAAAUAUUUUGAGAAAUUUAAAUACAGAUUUGGCAAUAUCAGCAUUGUACUCAAGGUGAGGCAUGAACUUAUAAGUUAAAAGACAGAGUCCCUAAAGGUCAAUUUAUAAGUUUUUUUUAACCAGAAGGGCAGUGCUGAAAAGUUUUAUUCAUUUUAUUAUAUUCAAAAGGGUAUGAGAGGGAAGAAGAUAAAUCCAUAUUUUGGAGAAUUGGGAAAUAAAAUUUUUCUUGUCGUAAAUAAUGGUGCUCCCAGAUGUCUAGUGGGCAAAGCAUUGCAAACCAGAUGCCUGUCAUAAAAGAUACCAUGAAAUAUUAAUAUUGAAUAUUAAAAGGUUGACCAAAACCUGUUUAGUUCAAAUGUAGUUGUAAAUUGCCUGGCUGGGCAGUAAUAUGAGAUCUGGCUGAAAUGAAUGGGUUCCCUUUUUGCCUCUGGUGCUUGGUCUAUUUGGGCGGAGAGCUGGGGAACUAUGACCUCUACUCUGGGAUGUUUCUUCCUUUGGGGAAUCUUGGGGUUAGCGUCCAUCCUGGUUUAGAGUGUUUGCAGUGAGCAGUCACAGUUCUGGAAUGUGGAGACAGCAGAAAGAGACACUAGGAGUAUGAAAUAAGGCCUGAAUCCAGGGUGUCCAGAGAAGCUGAUGGCAGAGUGCAUCUCCUGGGGCCCUUGGUGCCCUCGGCCCCUUAGUGCAGAUGCUUAGUAGACUUUGUGUGCCUGGGACACAGUAGAUACCCAGUUAAACUUCUAAACACAUACUGAUUUGGAGCUUACUGUAUUUCCUCUCCUAACCCAUUUAAUCCUCAUUGAACUCUCCAAAGUAGCUGCUACUGUCAUCCUCAUUGUACAAAUGACAAACUAAGAUGCAAAGAGGUUGAAUACCUUGUCCAAGUCCCCACAGAUAGUAAGCUGCAUGGCUGGGGUUUGAUUUGAGGGAGCUGAUACCCAAAGCUGCAAUGCGUGUGUAUGUAUUUACUUAAAAUUAAAAAAAAUUUUAUUUUAUAUUGAAGUAGAGUUGAUUUAUACUGUCAUGUUGGAAAGCUGUGAUCUUAAUGACUCCCUGACCACUUCUUAACGUCUGUGGCCUAUUGAAUUGAGUGUCUAGUGUUCUGACAUUUCAGGAUACUGUGUUUGCCUACACUAGGGAUUUUCAAAGCAGAGUUGUUGAAAGCUUUUCUGGAAUCCUUUAUUUUAUUAUCCAUAAUGUUGCUAGAAUUACUACAUCUUCUUUCAAAAAUAGUAAUACACCUCAAUCCACUGUCUCCUGAACAUUCUAUCCUUGAUUUUUCUUCCUAGCACUUACCAUCAUCUAACUUGAUUGAUUUUUUGCUUUUUCCUGCCUCCCCCUGCUAGAGGGUGGCCUCCCUGAGAGCAGGGGCAUUGUGUACUGCUUAGUCUCCAGCAAGGACCCUGCUUGACACAAAGGAGAUGCUCAAUGCAGAUAAUAUUUGUUUAUUUAAUGGGGAAGAUUAAUGUUGAGUAUGCUGGUGCCUUCAUCCUGGCCAUCUAAAAUCCUUUAAACCUUUCAAAAGGCUCGCCACUCCAUCCCAUCAUUACCAUGUGUGGCGUGAAACAUUCCAGGGGCAUUAGGAGCCUGAAAGUUGGAAUACUAAGGCCAGGCUCUUCCAACUGUCACAUGUGUGGAAAAUUCUUAAAGUUAUUGAGAGAAACUUCUUAGUACUGGCAGGUGGGGGAAGAGAGAGCUCUUAGCACUUUGAAAAUACACUGCAGGUCUCCUAGAAUCCUCUGUUCUCUUAAAAAUCUGUUCUACUCCUUUAUGCAUCAGAAUUUGUCAGGCUUCUGCCAUGCAUGAGGGGCUGGUACCUGUGUUAAGUUUUUGGUGCCCAGAUACCCUUCCCUAACUACUUAGAGUAGAAUACUUGUGCUGGAAAAAACCUUUUCUGUCUUACAUAGGGUUAGAGAGUUGCAGGAACUUGUCAAAAGUGUUAUUACAUUCAGCAUGGGUUUUUAUUGGCCUUCGGUAGUCAGAGUAUUUGGUGAACUAUCAAAUACUCUGAACCUCUUCUAUAGUUUGACUUCAUUUGCAUUCAUUUGUUCUUAAUGAUUAAAAGUAUGGGCUCUCAUGUCCAGAAGAUUUGAUUUGAAUCCAGGUUCUGUCACAUCACUAGCUGGUAUUUGUUUCAUCAUCUCUAAAUUGGUGGUAAUAAUACCACUGUAAAUUGGAACACAUCACACUUCCAUUUUACUGAUUUAAGGGACUGUCCUUGUUCAACUGACAAUGUCUCAAGUAGUAUAGCAAGAUAGAAUUGGAAAUGUUUGGAAAAUAGUGGCUUUGACAAGGUUCCCCCCCCCCCAGGCAGGUUAAGUCCAGCAGUCAUUAGGUUCCCAAGAUGAUUCUACCCACUGUGUGUGGACUCAAAACUCAUGGUUCAAAAUUGUUGCCAGAGGUCCUACCAUCUCUUCUGCAUUCCAGGUAGCAGGAUGGAGAAAGGGUAGACAAGUAUACCUCCCUCUGGAAGACUUUAAUAAGACUUUCUGAUGUACAUAUACCAAAACUCGGUUACAUUGCUAUAUGUAGUUACAAAGGAACCUGGAGAAUAUGUAACUUUUUUUUUUUUUUUUUCUUUUCUCCAACAGAUAUCUCUGCAACUACAAUCUGCCAUUCCUCAUGUACCUGUAUCUGUGGGUCUACUUCUUUUGGGAUUACUAGCAGAGUUUUUCUUCUCUGCUUUGUGUAUCUUUACCAUAUAGUUGUUUAUUCAUAGUUUUGGCUUCCUCAUACAUUUAGGUUCCUAAGAUCCUUCAUGGUCAUGAAGUUACUUAAUACCUUUUGUUUGUGUUCUCUCAGCUUCACUUCCUACUCCUAACUGCUUCAUCAUCUCAGUAUUUUUCCACUCAUAUUUUGGAGAGCGAGAAUGAUUGGACUAGCCUAGUCUAGCUCAUCCUGCUGGGCCCCACCUUGGUUGUUGGCCAGCUUGAGGAUGGAUGGCCUGCUAGUUUAAUCAGCCAUGGCUAUCUUGCUUAUGAGCCUUUUAAUCUUCAAGGGUGUGGAGGCAGAGCAGCUUUUAGAAUGUGACCAGCCUGCUUGUUCCCUGAUGAAUGCAACUCCCUUUGGCAGAGAGUUAGAAAUCUUAAAAUGAUAAACCUUGAAGUUAAAAAUCUUAACAUGAAUGAAUUUCAGAUAGUGUGGACAGUCAACAACUAUCCAUAACUGACAUUUGAUUGAUAAGUGAUCCUUUUAAAAGACUAGAAGGGUGUUUGAGGCAUACACGUGUAUCCCUCCAGUGCUUUUACUUCUGUUGUCACUUUCAACUGGAAUGAUCUUUUCUUCUGUUACCCACUUUCUCCUAGCUAACUCCUAACCUUUCCAGACUUUUUGGGAGUUCUUCUCUCUAUGAAGUCUUUGCUGACACUCCUGUAAUGAGGUUGGUGCUUCCCUAAACCCUUUGUGUAUGUCUUUCAUUGUGCUGGGCACUUGAUCUUGCCGUUGUUGUCACAGGUCUGUUAAGUGACUGCUCUCUCUUGAGCUGGAAUACUGUUGCUGUUAGGGUUUGAUCUUAAUUAUUGUCAUAUACCCAAUUCCUCUCUGCCUACCAAUACUGUCACAUUAGUGAUGCUCAGCAAAAUUUUGUUUUCUUGGAUUGAAUUUUUUAAUUUAAUCCCUACUGCCUGGUUAAAAAACAAAAAAAGCAAAGAAAUAAAUCUUCCAAAGUAAGUAAUAUUAAUUCUUUUAAUCUGGUAAAUUAGAAGAGCAUUGCUUUCCUGCUCCCAGUAGUCUUUAAUCAGAACUUUCAGGAAGAGAGCUAUUCUUUUUCUUCAGUAUUGAGCCAAAAUUCUGCUUUCAUUGGGAUAUUAUAUGUGGCGCUUAGUGCUGUAUUUGCAGAAGAUUGAGUAAAAUUUUGCUGGGAUGAAAUCUGUAGGUUCUGAUAAGGACUGUUUAUGCUUGUGUUCAGUUUUUUCUGCUUAGAUGGCUUUUGAAAUCUUUGUAAUUGAAUUUCACAAUGUGCUGAUAACUUUUUUUAACAGAUGAGGGCAAGGAUUCCUUUUUGGAUUCCUGGUUGAACUCUUAAUGUAUUUCAUCCCUGGUCAGUUGUAGUUAGCUUGGGAAGUAUAGAUGCCCUUGGGAUGAAGGGGGCAUGGUUAGAAUUGCAAACAUUUUAGAAAAUGCUGAAAGACCAAUUUUGCUAGUUCAGCUUCAGAUGUAAAUGUUUCCUUCUAGGCUGAUGUAUCAUUCUGCUUUUCCCUAGUCUGAGGAAGCCAGACUGUAGAUGUUGAGGAGCAAACUCCUCCACAUUUUGUCAACAAGCCUUCAUUCUAUUUUGUAAAUAGAAAUUGAGUUUUUUCUUUUUUAUGUUAUUUUCCUUUUGGAGAAAGUAACCUUUCAAGUGUACCAAGGGAGUUGUUAAAUAAUUCACCGUUAAUGUUUUCAGUGACAACACUAACAAAAGGAGAUGUGGGGUCUGAAAUCGGUGGCAUUCCCACGAGUUUGGUUCUGUGUCUGGAGGAGUGACUGCAGCAUAAUGACAGAUGUAACCUUUACUCAGGGAAGACUCCACCCACUCGGCACUUUGGAGCACCCACGCUCCUUAGAAUGCUCUGAGCCAGUCUUCUCCCCAGUGUCCCAAACCCCACACCUUUGCUUCCAGCCCGUUUGGGAUGCUGUCAAGAGAAAAUGCUAGAUUUUAGGUUUACUUGGAAGUAGAUGAUCCAGAAUUCAUUUCCUAUGGAUAUCUGAAGAGGCUGGAUCGUUUUGCAGAAUCAGUUUAAUAUGACUUCUUGGCCUUCAGAAGGAGCACCUCUUCGGAAGCCUUUUGGCUGCUAUGGGAAGCUGGGAUCUCAUGUCUCCCCUACUUUGGCACAACAGAUACAACCAUGAUUGCUGAGAUUUGGGGCUUUAUAAACUUUAUGGAGAAGCUUUAGCUUGCCAGCAAUAAGCCAUAAUAACAAUGUCGGACUGUAUAAACUUAGGGUUGUUUGACUACAUAUCAAUUUAAUGUACUAAAAAUAUCCUUCCAGUUAAAGAAAAGAUAAUAAAAUAAAUCAAUACUCUU